GAUGAACGCUAGCGGCAGGCUUAAUACAUGCAAGUCGAGGGGCAGCGCGGGUAGCAAUACCUGGCGGCGACCGGCAAACGGGUGCGGAACACGUACGCAACCUUCCCAUAACUGGUGAAUAGCCCUCCGAAAGGAGGAUUAAUACACCGUAAGAUAACGAAGAGGCAUCUCUUUGUUAUUAUAGCUACGGCGGUUUUGGAUGGGCGUGCGCCUGAUUAGGUAGUUGGCGGGGUAACGGCCCACCAAGCCUACGAUCAGUAACUGGUGUGAGAGCACGACCAGUCACACGGGCACUGAGACACGGGGCCCGACUCCUACGGGAGGCAGCAGUAAGGAAUAUUGGUCAAAUGGACGCAAGUCUGAACCAGCCAUGCCGCGUGAAGGAUGAAAGGUCCUCUGGAUUGUAAACUUCUUUUAAUCUGGGACGAAAAAAGGGCGUUUCUAGCUCACUUGACGGUACCAGAGGAAUAAGCACCGGCUAACUCCGUGCCAGCAGCCGCGGUAAAGUCGAUA
rnacentral:rRNA from 1 species